rnacentral:misc_RNA from 1 species
UACAUCAACGUGGCUAUGAUGGAAGAGGGCAUGGGAAAUGUUCAUGUUGCUCUUAGAUUUCUGCAUGAAGCUCUAAAGUGCAAUCAGAGAUUAUUAGGAGUGGAUCACAUACAGACAGCUGCNNNNNUGCGAUAGCCAUAGCUCUGUCAUUGAUGGAAGCAUAUUCGCUCAGUGUUCAGCAUGAGCAAACUACACUAAAGAUACUUCAAGUAAAACUUGGACCAGAGGAUCUUCGUACUCAGGAUGCUGCUGUGUGGCUUGAAUAUUUUGAAUCCAGGGCUCUAGAGCAGCAAGAAGUAGCACGAAAUGGAACUCCAAAGCCAGAUGCAUCUAUUGCAAGCAAAGGUCACCUUAGUGUAUCAGACCUCUUGGAUUACUUCAGUCCCGAUUAAGAUUCUAGAGGAAGUGAUGC